rnacentral:rRNA from 1 species
AGUGAACGCUGGCGGUAGGCCUAACACAUGCAAGUCGAACGGCAGCACAGUAAGAGCUUGCUCUUACGGGUGGCGGGUGGCGGACGGGUGAGGAAUACAUCGGAAUCUACUUUUUCGUGGGGGAUAACGUAGGGAAACUUACGCUAAUACCGCAUACGACCUACGGGUGAAAGCAGGGGAUCUUCGGACCUUGCGCGAUUGAAUGAGCCGAUGUCGGAUUAGCUAGUUGGCGGGGUAAAGGCCCACCAAGGCGACGAUCCGUAUCUGGUCUGAGAGGAUGAUCAGCCACACUGGAACUGAGACACGGUCCAGACUCCUACGGGAGGCAGCAGUGGGGAAUAUUGGACAAUGGGCGCAAGCCUGAUCCAGCCAUACCGCGUGGGUGAAGAAGGCCUUCGGGUUGUAAAGCCCUUUUGUUGGGAAAGAAAAGCAGCAGGUUAAUACCCCGCUGUUCUGACGGUACCCAAAGAAUAAGCACCGGCUAACUUCGUG